rnacentral:rRNA from 1 species
AGCUCCAAUAGCGUAUAUUAAAGUUGUUGCGGUUAAAAAGCUCGUAGUUGGUUCUGUGUGCCACGCUGUCGGUUCACCGCCUGCCGGUGCAACUGACAUGCCGUGGGAUGUCUUGCCGGAGGGGGCCGAAACCCUUCAGCGGCUUCCCGUUGUUGGGCUCAGGUCCUCGCAAUGCUGCCACGGUGCUCUUCACCGAGUGUCGGGGCAGGCCGACAGGCUUAAUUUCGCCUGAAUAGUUGUGCAUGGAAUAAUGGAAUAUGACCUUGUUUCUGUUUUGUUGGCUUUCGGAAUUCACGGUAAUGAUCAAUGUGGACAGGCGGGGGCAUUCGUAUUGCGACGUUAGAGGUGAAAUUCUUGGAUCGUCGCAAGACGAACUAGAGCGAAAGCAUUUGCCAAGUAUGUCUUAG